CUAAGAGGAUAACGAUGGUUGGUUUACUCGCUUUGGAAGCGAGAGGUUGCAGGUUCGAAUCCUGUCUCUUAGA
rnacentral:tRNA from 1 species